UACGUAGGGUGCAAGCGUUGUCCGGAAUUAUUGGGCGUAAAGAGCUCGUAGGGGGCGGGUCACGUCGGGUGUGAAAGCCCGGGGCUUAACCCCGGGUCUGCAUUCGAUACGGGCUUGCUAGGGUCCGGCAGGGGAGACUGGAAUUCCUGGUGUAGCGGUGAAAUGCGCAGAUAUCAGGAGGAACACCGGUGGCGAAGGCGGGUCUCUGGGCCGGUACCGACGCUGAGGAGCGAAAGCGUGGGGAGCGAACAGG
rnacentral:rRNA from 1 species